CAUAUCAGAGGAAGGUGGCAUAAGUAGGAAUCGAAUAGCAGGCGCCGAAAAGCGCUUUGCAGCGAUCUACUCUGGGAGGCAAAAUCGUCCAAUAGGAAAUCGAAAUCUGUCUUGUCCAGACAGUGACUGCCCAGAGCUCAACAGCAGAGGGCUUCAGCACUUGUCUUGAAACUGGGUUUGCCUGUCAUGCUGCCGUGUUCAAUCCCUAGAAACUCCCAGUUUCUACUUCACGUUUUCCUUUCAUUCAAUCUCAGUUUUAGUAUUGCUUGUUUGAUUUCUCAGUGGAAGAUCCCUAUGGAUUAGGAGACUGUGAAUCCGGAAGACGGUUUCUAUGUCAGGUAAUCUUUUGAGAUUCAAGCUUCAUUUUUUAGCUCUCUUUUCGUUUCUUAUGUAAGGUAACAACAAAUAUGAUGGAAAAUGAAGUUGAACGUUUGAGGUUUUUCAGGCGAGGGAAAAGAGAAAAAGGGAGAAGGGGAUUCUUUUUCUCGGAGACAAAAUUUCGUAGAUUCUUUUACUAAAACAGGAAUCCUAUGUUUCAGGUUUUUGAAGUGUUUGGGAAGUGCUUCUUCAAGCAAAAAAAUUGCAAACUUUAUGAUGAAAUCAGAAACUGAGUCUUUUGAGUUUUUUCAAUUUGUUGGGGAACUGAUGAAUGAAAGAGAUGAAGAGAAGGGAAAGGGGAACAAUGCAUGGUUUCCAUGUUGGUUGAAUCUUGGGCUUUCCCUACUUGUGAGGGCUUAGGUUACUCUUGGCAUGCGUUCGAAUUGAAUCUGGGUUAUUUGGAUUGUUGAAAGAGAUCAUCGAUUUCAUUUGUAGGUCUUGUUUGUUGAAUGAAACCCAUUUUACUUCUUCUAAUCUUGAUGUGAUUAAUUGUAUUCUGGCUACUGAUACGACAUCAUUGUCUUGUCCAAUUGCAGGAAUUUGGAGGAUGAAGUCUCGCUUAGCUCCUUCAGCCCAAUUGAUGGGUAGAAAAACCAUGUUCACAGUGAUUUAGUGAUGUGUUUUAUGUCUCUAAACAUUCCAGUGAGAUGCAUCUAGUGCAAGAAAAGAAGGGAAAUUUUACCAAACUAUAAUAAAGGGAAGCACAAUGUUAGGCACCCAAUCAUCAGCAACUUUGUGACCAUGGCUUCAGACUCUUUGCUUAGAGGCUUUCUUGUGAGGGACAUGGUUGAGAAGGAUUUUAUCUGUUCUAUCACAUAAAAAUUGAUAAAUGGCAUUCAGGUUGCUUUAAGACAGAUCCAUCAACAGUGAAGUUCUUAUGGAGCAGAAGAAAAUCCAAUUUCAUACAAAUUGGCUAUGUGGGAAGUUGGGAAAUUUGAGGAUAUACGAAUUAGCCAUGUCUGUCAGUCCAAGAAAAGUCAUGCUGACCCUUUGCUUAAGCAUCUUAGGAAAUUUGAGGAUAAACAUACACAUGCAUUAGUGUGACACGCAUGUCAAUCAUUGCAACCCAACAAUUGUUCUAUUGAUAAACUUUAUUUGGGCUACAAAUCGAAUGUUAAUUCUUAAAACCCUGACAUGAGGUUUUAGCACUUAGAAUUGGAUUUGUAUUGCUUAUGAAUAAUUAGAUGAAUGGGUAUUGUUAGAAAAGUUCUUUGAUUUCUCCAAGCAGACACAGCUGGAUCCCAUGGUUAUAUGGGGAAAGAAUAUCAUUGUCUGGGGAGCAAUAAAAUAUUUAGCAAAGAAGCAUAUGAAGAUGGGGAUCCUUAAAUUCUACGUGUAACCUUCACUUUGCUAAAAUCUAAUUUUUAGAAAAGUUCUUUGAUUUCUCAAUUUGGUAGAAUCUGUGACUUCUUAGAUGUUCUUGUAAUAUACUACUAAAAUCUAAUUUUUAAAGUAAUCUUAUAUUUGAAAUGGUAUUGGACUUUUUCACCACUUUAAUUAUUU
rnacentral:lncRNA from 1 species